CAGCAUAUCAUAGCGGAGGAAAAGAACCAACAGGGAUUGCCCCAGUAACGGCGAGUGAAGCGGCAACAGCUCAAAUUUGAAAUCUGGCCCCAGGCCCGAGUUGUAAUUUGCAGAGGAUGCUUUUGGCGCGGUGCCUUCCGAGUUCCCUGGAACGGGACGCCAUAGAGGGUGAGAGCCCCGUACGGUUGGACACCAAGCCUUUGUAAAGCUCCUUCGACGAGUCGAGUAGUUUGGGAAUGCUGCUCUAAAUGGGAGGUACAUUUCUUCUAAAGCUAAAUAUUGGCCAGAGACCGAUAGCGCACAAGUAGAGUGAUCGAAAGAUGAAAAGCACUUUGAAAAGAGGGUUAAACAGCACGUGAAAUUGUUAAAAGGGAAGCGCUUGUGACCAGACUUGCGUCCGGUGAAUCACCCAGCUCUCGCGGCUGGGGCACUUCGCCGGCACAGGCCAGCAUCAGCUUGCCGUCGGGGACAAAAGCUUCAGGAACGUGGCUCCUCUCGGGGAGUGUUAUAGCCUGUUGCAUAAUACCCUUCGGCGGGCUGAGGUACGCGCUCCGCAAGGAUGCUGGCGUAAUGGUCAUCAGCGACCCGUCUUGAAACACGGACCAAGGAGUCAACCUUAUGUGCGAGUGUUUGGGUGUUAAACCCCUACGCGUAAUGAAAGUGAACGCAGGUGAGAGCUUCGGCGCAUCAUCGACCGAUCCUGAUGUUCUCGGAUGGAUUUGAGUAAGAGCAUAUAGGGUUGGACCCGAAAGAAGGUGAACUAUGCGUGUGUAGGGUGAAGCCAGAGGAAACUCUGGUGGAGGCUCGCAGCGGUUCUGACGUGCAAAUCGAUCGUCAAACAUGCGCAUGGGGGCGAAAGACUAAUCGAACCUUCUAGUAGCUGGUUUCCGCC
rnacentral:rRNA from 1 species